rnacentral:rRNA from 1 species
GACGAACGCUGGCGGCGUGCCUAAUACAUGCAAGUAGAACGCUGAAGAGAGGAGCUUGCUCUUCUUGGAUGAGUUGCGAACGGGUGAGUAACGCGUAGGUAACCUGCCUUGUAGCGGGGGAUAACUAUUGGAAACGAUAGCUAAUACCGCAUAACAAUGGAUGACCCAUGUCAUUUAUUUGAAAGGGGCAAAUGCUCCACUACAAGAUGGACCUGCGUUGUAUUAGCUAGUAGGUGAGGUAACGGCUCACCUAGGCGACGAUACAUAGCCGACCUGAGAGGGUGAUCGGCCACACUGGGACUGAGACACGGCCCAGACUCCUACGGGAGGCAGCAGUAGGGAAUCUUCGGCAAUGGGGGCAACCCUGACCGAGCAACGCCGCGUGAGUGAAGAAGGUUUUCGGAUCGUAAAGCUCUGUUGUAAGUCAAGAACGAGUGUGAGAGUGGAAAGUUCACACUGUGACGGUAGCUUACCAGAAAGGGACGGCUAACUACGUGCCAGCAGCCGCGGUAAUACGUAGGUCCCGAGCGUCGUCCGGAUUUAUUGGGCGUAAAGCGAGCGCAGGCGGUUUGAUAAGUCUGAAGUUAAAGGCUGUGGCUCAACCAUAGUUCGCUUUGGAAACUGUCAAACUUGAGUGCAGAAGGGGAGAGCGGAAUUCCAUGUGUAGCGGUGAAAUGCGUAGAUAUAUGGAGGAACACCGGUGGCGAAAGCGGCUCCCUGGUCUGUAACUGACGCUGAGGCUCGAAAGCGUGGGGAGCGAACAGGAUUAGAUACCCUGGUAGUCCACGCCGUAAACGACGAGUGCUAGGUGUUGGAUCCUUUCCGGGAUUCAGUGCCGCAGCUAACGCAUUAAGCACUCCGCCUGGGGAGUACGACCGCAAGGUUGAAACUCAAAGGAAUUGACGGGGGCCCGCACAAGCGGUGGAGCAUGUGGUUUAAUUCGAAGCAACGCGAAGAACCUUACCAGGUCUUGACAUCCCGAUGCUAUCUCUAGAGAUAGAAAGUUACUUCGGUACAUCGGUGACAGGUGGUGCAUGGUUGUCGUCAGCUCGUGUCGUGAGAUGUUGGGUUAAGUCCCGCAACGAGCGCAACCCCUAUUGUUAGUUGCCAUCAUUCAGUUGGGCACUCUAGCGAGACUGCCGGUAAUAAACCGGAGGAAGGUGGGGAUGACGUCAAAUCAUCAUGCCCCUUAUGACCUGGGCUACACACGUGCUACAAUGGUUGGUACAACGAGUUGCGAGUCGGUGACGGCAAGCUAAUCUCUUAAAGCCAGUCUCAGUUCGGAUUGUAGGCUGCAACUCGCCUACAUGAAGUCGGAAUCGCUAGUAAUCGCGGAUCAGCACGCCGCGGUGAAUACGUUCCCGGGCCU